CUUGACAAGAUUGUAGUCUUUUAACUAAUAUAAUAUAAUAUGCCCCUCAUUCAAGUUUUAGGCUACUCAAAAGACUACAAUCUUUCAAGAAUCUUUCCCAAAUCUUGUCAAAGUUUGUCAGUGUAAGGUAGGCUUAAUCAGGAUUUCUGGAGCAAGGAAGCUGAAAGAAACAUUCCAUGACAAAUUGAUUGAUUGGUGCCAGGGACAGGGGUGGCAAUUGCCUCUCAAGGCAGACACCACGUUUGAGAAAAAAGGCCCAGAAGAGAUGUACAAUCAGAAAGUACAGUAAAGUGAAUGUUACUUGAUGGGUUCUUCUUUAGGAUUGCAU